rnacentral:tRNA from 1 species
CAAAAUAUAGCUUAAUCAAAAGCAUUCAGCUUACACCUGAAAGAUGUACACUAAAACAGGACUAUUUUGA